rnacentral:rRNA from 1 species
UCCAUUAAUCAAGAACGAAAGUUAGAGGUUCGAAGGCGAUCAGAUACCGCCCUAGUUCUAACCAUAAACGAUGCCAGCCAGCGAUCCGGCUGUGUUCCUCAAAUGACACGCCGGGCAGCUUCCGGGAAACCAAAGCUUUUGGGUUCCGGGGGAAGUAUGGUUGCAAAGCUGAAACUUAAAGGAAUUGACGGAAGGGCACCACCAGGAAUGGAGCCUGCGGCUUAAUUUGACUCAACACGGGAAAACUUACCCGGCCCGGACACAGGAAGGAUUGACAGAUUAAGAGCUCUUUCUUGAUUCUGUGGGUGGUGGUGCAUGGCCGUUCUUAGUUGGUGGAGCGAUUUGUCUGGUUAAUUCCGAUAACGAACGAGACUCUAGCCUACUAAAUAGACGUUCCGAUCAUCUCCGUCGGACGUUCUUCUUAGAGGGACAAGCGGCGUUUAGCCGCACGAGACAGAGCAAUAACAGGUCUGUGAUGCCCUUAGAUGUCCGGGGCCGCACGCGCGCUACAUUGAAGGAAUCAGCGUGUGCUUUCCCUGUCCGACAGGACUGGGUAACCCGUUGAACCUCCUUCGUGCUGGGGAUAGGGGCUUGUAAUUGUUCCCCUUGAACGAGGAAUUCCCAGUAAGCACGAGUCAUAAGCUCGUGUUGAUUACGUCCCUGCCCUUUGUACACACCGCCCGUCGCUACUACCGAUUGAAUGAUUUAGUGAGGUCUUCGGACUGGCGCUCGGAGCGGCCCUCGGGUCGCGCCGGCGUGCCGGAAAGAUGACCAAACUUGAUCAUUUAGAGGAAGUAAAAGUCGUAACAAGGUU